UACGUAGGGGGCAAGCGUUGUCCGGAAUCAUUGGGCGUAAAGCGCGCGUAGGCGGCCCGGUAAGUCCGCUGUAAAAGUCCAGGGCUCAACCCUGGAAAGCCGGUGGAUACUGUCGGGCUAGAGUCCGGAAGAGGCGAGUGGAAUUCCUGGUGAGCGGUGAAAUGCGCAGAGAUCGGGAGGAACACCCGUAGCGAAGGCGGCACUCUGGGCCGGACUGACGCUGAGGA
rnacentral:rRNA from 1 species